UACAGAGGGGGCAAGCGUUAUUCGGAAUUAUUGGGCGUAAAGGGCGCGUAGGCGGCCUGGCAAGUGGAAGGUGAAAUCCCUCGGCUUAACCGAGGAACUGCCCUCCAAACUGCUUGGCUUGAGUCCGGGAGAGGUGAGUGGAAUUCCUGGUGUAGCGGUGGAAUGCGCAGAUAUCAGGAGGAACACCGAUGGCGAAGGCAGGUCUCUGGGCCGAGCUACUGACGCUGAGGAGCGAAAGUGUGGGGAGGCGAACAGG
rnacentral:rRNA from 1 species